CUACGGGAGACUCCAGUGAGGAAUAUUGCACAAUGGGGGGAACCCUGAUGCAGCAACGCCGCGCGGAGGAUGACGCAUUUCGGUGUGUAAACUCCUUUUAUAUGUCAAGAAAAUGACGGUAGCAUAUGAAUAAGCACCGGCUAACUCCGUGCCAGCAGGCCGCGGUAAUACGGAGGGUGCAAGCGUUACUCGGAAUCACUGGGCGUAAAGGACGCGUAGGCGGGUUGGAAAGUCAGGUGUGAAAUCCUACAGCUUAACUGUAGAACUGCACUUGAAACUUCUAAUCUAGAGUAUGGGAGGGGGAGAUGGAAUUAGUGGUGUAGGGGUAAAAUCCGUAGAUAUCACUAGGAAUACCUAAAGCGAAGGCGAUCUCCUGGAACAUUACUGACGCUAAGGCGUGAAAGCGUGGGGAGCAAACAGGAUUAGAUACCCCGGUAGUC
rnacentral:rRNA from 1 species